CCAAGGAUGGAGACCGCGGGCGGCGGCGGGGCCCGCCCCCGGGUGCUGGUGGUGGGCGCGGGGCUCGCGGGGCUCGGCGCUGCGCAGCGGCUCUCCGGCUCCCGAGCCUUCCCCCACCUGCGCCUGCUGGAGUCCACGGGCCGGGCCGGGGGCCGCGUCUGCUCCCAGCGAUUCGGGAGUGAAGUGGUGGAGAUGGGUGCACACUGGAUCCAUGGGCCCUCCAAGGAGAACCCUGUCUUCCAGCUGGCGUCCGACUACGGGCUGCUCGACAAGGAAGCCAUGUCCGAAGAGAACCAGCAGAUUGAGGUGGGGGGCCACCCCUUCCUGCCCACGGUUUUCUACUCCAACACGGGGCGAGUCCUGAACCCAGAGCUGGGGGCGGGAGUGAGGAACCUGUUCUCCACCCUGCUGGACCAGACGCACAAGUUCCUGCACGUGCCGCAGGUCUCUGUGCCCAGUGUGGGUGCGUAUCUGCGGAAGGAGAUCGCCCAGCAGGUGAAGGAGUGGACGGACGAUGACGAAACCAAGUGGCUGAAGCUGGCUGUCCUCAACACGUACUUCAAGCUGGAGUGCAGCGUGAGUGGGACCCACAGCAUGGAUCACGUGGCGCUGGGGCCCUUUGGGGAGUACACCAUGCUCCCCGGCCUGGACUGCACCUUUCCUGGUGGCUAUGGAGGCCUGCCGGACUGCAUGCUGACCUCGCUGCCCAAGGAGAGCGUGGUGUUCCACAAGCCAGUGACGGUGGUUCGCUGGGGUGGCUCCUACCGGGAGGAGAGCCAAGAGGGGCAGACGUUCCCAGUCCAGGUGGAGUGCGAGGACGGCGAGAGGUUCCUGGCAGAUCACGUCAUCAUCACAGUGCCUCUAGAAAUUGCUUCACUUUGCUCACUGAAUUAAGCUGGCGAUUUCUCGAUCUGCAAAUAUCACUCAACAUUUCUAAAUGAAGAGAGAGCCUCUUCGUGUUAUUGUCACCAUGGAAAGCUUCACUUAUUGGGACACUGUCCUGUUUCGAGCCAUUUUCUGCAUCAGUUAUAUGCUUCUCCAAUUUUACUGGGAAUGUAAAGCUUUUCAUUGAAAACCUCUGUUCAAUGACAGCUUUGCAGGCAUAAAUGAUCCUGACAUAUAUUUGAUGAAAAUACUGUUUGGGGUCACUGAAAGUGUGAGGAAGGCUUCCUUGGUCAAGCCCUCUUUGUGGUUUGUGUUUUCUCGGGAAUGUGGGAUCAUCUAAAUAAAGAUUUCUUGCCUUAUCUAUGGUUGUUUCCCAGAAGUGAUUGUAUGAUGAGUUGGUGCUCACCCCACUCAACACCUCUUGCAACAGGCCAACUUUCUUCAUAACGCUUGCCAAUGACAUGUUUAGGUUUUGAAUUUUUGCAUUAACUUUUUCUACAGAACCCAUGCAUUUCACAAGAACUGUUAGUGUAAGGUGCGUUGAAAAAGAUUGAAGUUGCUUCGAGAAUCCACUGCAUUUUGAGCCAAAUUCAUCUGAAGAGUGACUAAAUUCAUCCAGGCAGUUCAUCAUGGCCUCGUAGUUGUUGAGCAGUGAUUUAAUGCUGCUGAUCCUUAGUGUCGAUCUUGUUGGGCACAAUGGUCGUAAAGAAGGCUCCCCUUCUCUCUGAAUGCUGCCAUAUGCUUUGGUGACUCCCUGAAGGCAUUGAUGAGAUCUUUCACCAUUGAAAACAUAUCACGACAUUCUGGAUGCAGGGCAUCCGGCGUAGCAAGGUUAAGGGAAUGUGCAGCACAAUGCAGAAGUUCUGCUCUUGGCUCUUGAUCCUUCACCGUGGCUUGGACCCCAGUAAAUUUGCCAGACACGUUACUGGCUCCAUCGUAACACUGCCCCCGGCAACUGGAAAAGGGCAAAUCACGCCUAAGAAGCAUAUCUUCCACAAUUUUGAAAAGAGAAGCAGCAUCCAUUGAGUCAGUUUGGUAAAACCCAAUAAACACCUCAUAAAUCUCCCAGUCUUCGCUAGAAAAGAAUCUUAAAGAAGAACUUACUCGUUCUUUUCUUGACGAAUCAGCAGUCUCAUCCAUUACAAUGGCGUAAAACUUAAAAGCCUUUAUCUUUUGCACAGUUUCUCUUAGCACCAUCAUUGCCAUCAUUUUGAUUAUUUCGUUAAUAACCUCAUGUGACAGUCACUUAUAUUUUGUGCGACUAGGCCACUGUCUCAGUUCCUCUGAAUCUGUGCUGCGAAGCAACAAGGGCUGCAUCAAAUUUGAACCACUCUCAUUAGGUCCACGUAAUGCUAUGCCUUGUUGAGGUAGGUGCUGAACACUGUUAAAAAAUUUGUACAGUUCAUUCCUAGCUGACUCUGAUUCUUUUCUGUAACUGGCUGACAUUAGUGCAGAAACAUUUACCUGCGAUUGCAGAGCAGCCUACUUCAUUACCGCUUCCUUGUGACAGGAGGAUUUUUCGUGUGCUGUAAAUCAGAGACAAUAUUAAGAUCUUCUUUUCAGAACAGUUUUUUCUCUGUCUAAUUUUCUGUUGUACUCCAAGCACAUAAAUCUUGAUAGCCAAGAUUGCUGAAAACUCCUGUUCUUACCUUGUCGUUUUGCCGUCACUUGCUGAAUGACCCUUUUUUUUUUUUUUUUUUUUCCUUUUUUUCUGGGUAACUUUUUAUUAAAAAUUUAUCCAUUGUUGAUUAUUAUUACUGGUCUUACAAAUCGAGAAUUUGUUGCAGGGAUAAAAUAAAGCUACAGUGCACCGGGGCCACAAGAUUGCGAGGGCCAAUUAAAAGUGGAAAGUCAGCAGCAGCACUCGCCUGCUUCAAUAUGUUAUGUGUUGUCGUACGCUUACACAACCAAUUAUAUACUUUAUUUUAAAGAAUAUAAAAUAAUCAAGGAUUGUGGUAAACACAAUCAUCCCCCAAACUGAACGCCGAAGUUGCGUGUUUUUUCCCUCAGGCACCCAAACAGUAUCCGGAUGUCUUUCAAAUGAAUCCGGAUCAGGGCCUUAUUUGUAAGAGAUGCAACGGUGCAGAGUGGGUAAAUUCACGACACAAACUUUCAACCUUCUGCUUAGACGAUGACGAAAAUGACACCAGUCUGCAUCGCAGUCCCGCGUCAUUGUCAUCAGUGUGUUUGCAGACUGUCUGAAGCCUGCGCGUCGCGAAAGCACCUUGAUAAUUUAGCCUGCUUUCACGAUGCAGGGUUGCGCUACCUUAAGAAAUAGGGUUAAGCGUAUCCUUCAAGUUGAUGCUCAGUGGACAAUUGUGAACAGAGAUAUUGUUCACAUCAAAAUGUAUGUAAAAUAUAAGCCCAAACAUGGGUGGACCCAGGCCCACGGUUCUAAACAUUGGUGGAGCACGGGCACCACGGGCCCAUAUAACUCACCGCCUAUGUUCGUAGGGUUCCUUAAAGAGCAUCAUGAGACCUUUAUCGACCCUCCGCUGCCGCCCCGGAAAGCAGACGCCAUUAGACAGCUGGGCUUCGGGACGAACAACAAGAUCUUCCUGGAGUUUGAGCAGCCGUUCUGGCCACCGGACUGCCAGCUGAUCAAGGUUGUCUGGGAGGACGAGUCUCCUCUGGUAGAGGCUGGGACUGACCUGCAGGCUGGCUGGUUCAGAAAACUUAUCUGCUUCUUAGUCCUCCAGCCACCGGAACG